AUGGAUUCAGAAACUACUUAGGAGAGGCAGGCAGUCCAAGGCUGAUGCCCAAAGAAGCCAUCAAGACCCGUGCUACUUCCAGCUCCUUCUGUCCUCAUAAUCAUAGAUGAUUGCUCCACAUCCAGCACCUAACACCAGUACUCAGUUAAAUUUUUUGCUGAAUAAAUCAAUGAAUGGAGAGGUAAAGAGGAACCAGAAGUUGGGGUUACAGAAGUCACUGAUGGAAGAGUUUCAAGAUAGUAGAAGUGGUCAGCCCUGUUAAGUGACAAGCCAAGGACUGAAGAAAGACUGGCAGAUUUGGCAAUCAGAUGAAGUGACCUGACCAAAGAGCAGCUUGUGUGAAGUAGUGAGGACAGGCGCUGGUCUGCGACUGGUUUAGGAGGAAAUGGAAAUGAAGAAGAAGAGAUAGGAAAGUGGAGAUUAUAUGAUGACAAGUAUCAAGAUAAAAAUGAACACAUUUGGCCUGCUACCUGAAUUUUUUAAAUCGGCUCACCAAAAAAUAUCAGGCUUAUUGAAAUAUUGGAAUAUCUGAUGAAGUUUCCUCUUAUCUUUGAGCUGUUUGGGUUUGGGUAAAAUUUCAAUGCUUAAAAUUCACGUCUACAACUAGCAGGCAGAACCUUAAAGUCCAGAACCAUUAAAGGGUUUAAUAAUGAGUCUCGCUCAGUUUCCAGGCUGGAGUGUAAUGGCGUGAUCUUGGCUCACUGCAACCUCUGCCUCCCAGCUUCAAGUGAUUCCCCUGCUUUAGCCUCCCAAGCAGCUGGGACUACAGGCAUGCACCAGCAUGGCCGGCUAAUUUUUUUUUGUAUUUUAGUACAGAUGGGGUUUAACCAUGUUGGCCAGGAUGAUCUUGAUCUCCUGACCUCGUGAUCUGCCCACCUCGGCCUCCCAAAGUGCUAGGAUUACAGGCGUGAGCCACCUUGCCCGGCCUUCUAUUCCUUUUUCUAAUGCAUUUGCCCCAGCUAUCUGUAUAGCCUGCAAUCUGGUAGAUGGACCACAGGGAAACCACUGCAGCAAACUAAAAGUGUCUAUCUCAGAUCCUUCCACCACCAUCAUUUCCAAAAUCACCGUCACUAUCUCCACCACCAUCACCUUUACCACC
rnacentral:lncRNA from 1 species